rnacentral:tRNA from 1 species
GCAUUGUUAGCUCAGUUGAUCAGAGCAUGGUGCUAAUAAUGCCAAGGUUGUGGGUUUGAUCCCCAUAUGGGCCG